rnacentral:lncRNA from 1 species
UGUUCUUAUUCGCUGACAUUUGUUUUCCAAUUGCGUGAAAUUUGGUCAUUUCCUUAGUGUUUCGCUGACCGACCUGUGCUGGUAUUGUGAUUAAGAGCUAAUACACAUUUUUCGGACGAUUUUGCUGUGCUGCGUUCCUGCUCCGCCUGUAUAUUGCUCCGCCCGUAUUUUAUAGUGUUGCGUUCCUGUUGCGCCUUUGCAUUAGUGUGUGCGUUGUGAUUUAGACACGUUGAAAUUUUUUGUAUGCUUCUGCUGUGCUGCGUUCCUGCUCCACCCGUGUAUUAGAUUGCUGCGUUCCUGUUAACAUACAUAUCGUCG